GGGUGUUAGCUCAGUUGGCUAGAGCGUUUGACUGGCAGUCAAGAGGUCGUGAGUUCGAUUCUCAUACACUCC
rnacentral:tRNA from 1 species